GAUGAACGCUGACAGAAUGCUUAACACACGCAAGUCCACUUGAAUUUGGGUUUUUAACUUAGGUUUGGGUGGCGGACGGGUGAGUAACGCGUAAAGAACUUGCCUCACAGCUAGGGACAACAUUUGGAAACGAAUGCUAAUACCUAAUAUUAUGAUAAUAGGGCAUCCUAUAAUUAUGAAAGCUAUAAGCGCUGUGAGAGAGCUUUGCGUCCCAUUAGCUAGUUGGAGAGGUAACGGCUCACCAAGGCGAUGAUGGGUAGCCGGCCUGAGAGGGUGAUCGGCCACAAGGGGACUGAGACACGGCCCUUACUCCUACGGGAGGCAGCAGUGGGGAAUAUUGGACAAUGGACCGAGAGUCUGAUCCAGCAAUUCUGUGUGCACAAUGAAGUUUUUCGGAAUGUAAAGUGCUUUCAGUUGGGAAGAAACAAAUGACGGUACCAACAGAAGAAGUGACGGCUAAAUACGUG
rnacentral:rRNA from 1 species